rnacentral:rRNA from 1 species
GACGUAGGGGGCCAGCGUUGCUCGGAAUUACUGGGUGUAAAGGGUUCGUAGGCGGUGCGGCAAGUUGGGAGUGAAAUCUCUGGGCUCAACCCAGAGGCUGCUUCCAAAACUGCUGUGCUUGAGUGUGGAGAGGCGCGUGGAAUUGCAGGUGUAGCGGUGAAAUGCGUAGAUAUCUGCAGGAACACCCGUGGCGAAAGCGGCGCGCUGGACCACAACUGACGCUGAGGCACGAAAGCUAGGGGAGCAAACGGG